UGCGUAGGCGGAAUGAUAAGUCAGUAGUGAAAUCCUACAGCUUAACUGUAGAACUGCCAUUGAUACUGUUGUUCUUGAGUACAUUUGAAGUGGGCGGAAUGUGUCAUGUAGCGGUGAAAUGCAUAGAGAUGACACAGAACACCGAUCGCGAAGGCAGCUCACUAAACUGUAACUGACGCUGAGGCACGAAAGCGUGGGGAUCAAACAGGAUUAGAUACCCUGGUAGUCC
rnacentral:rRNA from 1 species